AGUGAACGCUGGCGGUAGGCUUAACACAUGCAAGUCGAACGGCAGCACAGUAAGAGCUUGCUCUUACGGGUGGCGAGUGGCGGACGGGUGAGGAAUACAUCGGAAUCUACUUUUUCGUGGGGGUUAACGUAGGGAAACUUACGCUAAUACCGCAUAUGACCUACGGGUGAAAGCAGGGGAUCUUCGGACCUUGCGCGAUUGAAUGAGCCGAUGUCGGAUUAGCUAGUUGGCGGGGUAAUGGCCCACCAAGGCGCCGAUCCGUAGCUGGUCUGAGAGGAUGAUCAGCCACACUGGAACUGAGACACGGUCCAGACUCCUACGGGAGGCAGCAGUGGGGAAUAUUGGACAAUGGGCGCAAGCCUGAUCCAGCCAUACCGCGUGGGUUAAGAAGGCCUUCGGGUUGUAAAGCCCUUUUGUUGGGAAAGAAAAGCAGCAGGUUAAGACCCCGCUGUUCUGACGGUACCCAAAGAAUAAGCACCGGCUAACUUCGUG
rnacentral:rRNA from 1 species